rnacentral:lncRNA from 1 species
ACCUCAUCUGUGGUCAUACCGUAGACCGUAGUAACACAAAGUUGAAAUUCGAAGACUAUUUAAACUGAAAGGAACAAAGGAUUGCUAUUUUGCGGAACAAAGACGAGUAGGAAACUUCCCAGAAGGUAAGCAAAAGGUUAAAGAUUAUAUAUAAGACGGUAUUUAUCUUGAAAGUCUGUUAACUAUAGCGAUUUAAACUAAAUUUCCGCGAUCGGCGAGGUGCAUAAUUAUUUUAAAAAUGUGUUUGUUGUAUAUUCGGUAUUCCCUAGUGACUCGUGUCAUUGAGUCAGCUUUUGUCUUUAUAAAGUAAAUAAAACUUUCGAAUACCUUUAGUAUUCUGAGACUACUAAAUAAUGUUUAGUAUACGCAAUUUAUUUGGAAUCAAAACUAGAUUUGUUUGAGCCCAGCCUUCUGUGCUUGGAUUUUGUCUUCUAUGUGACAGGACUCUGUGUCAGUGUGUUUUUCUUGUGCUUAACAAUUUUUUGAGACGUUUGCCAAUUGUGCCCAUACGGCCAGGAAUUUUAUUCUUGAUUUGAGAUAUCAAUAUUAAUCUAAAUGGCCUACUGUAAACUUCCAACAAAUCAGUUUAAACCAGAUUAAACCUCCCACCAAUCCUGACUGCCUUGUCAUGUCCUGUAUACUGCGGGAUCCGAUUCAGUUAGCUAGACCGUUAAAUGCGAAUAGUUGUCGUGUAGUUUUAAUGUACAAAGACGUUUCUAGGCAGAUUUCAGAUGUUUCUAAGGUGUGUCUUCAAUGUUUAUUUUCAAAAUUGUUUGAAAAUAAACAUUGAAGCCACACCUUACAAACGUCUGAAAUCUGCCUAGAAACGUCAUCGUACAACCGUUAAAUUACAAUGUUUAAAUCUUGAAAAUAAACAUUGAAGCCAUGCCUUAGUAACAUCUGAAAUCUGCCUAGAAACGUCAUUGUACAACCGUUAAAACUAUAACGCAACAACUAUUCAUAUUCAACAACUAUUCAUAUUCUACUAACUCUUGACGAAGGGCCGAGUUUCUGCUUAUUUUUUAAGGUAGUAAAUAGUAAUAUAACCACUCAGCACAGCAUUUUCAUAUUUAACGGUCUACCUGAAUCCGCAGUAAUAUUCUAUAGGAAAAUAUGGAUUGUAGAUUUCUCGAUUCUCACACAGGUGUUGGAUCACAGGUCCUGACACAACCAUAGGAAUCUUGUUUUGCUACUGAGGUGAUAUAAAUAUCUGUAUCACAAGUCUUUUCUAAACUGUUUUAAUUUUGUAAGGUUAGGAUUGCAUGGCCAUAUAACACCUGUAUUCUAAUUAUUUUCUCGUACUCAAAAGAGUUGAGGUUCUAUCUGAGCUUCCCUUGAGAGUUGAGUGCAGGGGCAUAGCGUGCAGGGGGGGGGGUGACACCCCCAGUUUUAGUGAGGUAACUAGUCGGUAAAAUGCCAAAAGUUACUCGGUAAUGGCAAAUCGGUUAAAGUGGAAUUUUGCUUCUCGGUAAAUGGCUUUUAAUAAUCAGUAAAAUUAAAUGAGUGUUGUGCCUUGUUCUCCAAUAAAGUUAUGCAAAAUUUACAUAAUUCUUCAGUAAUCACUUAUGUUAAAUAUCUACGCCUAAGCAUUGCAGCCCCUAAUUUUCUAUGAAUCGUAUUACACUUGCAAGAGCUGCGAAAACAGUCGAUUCUAAUUGGACAUGUUCAACUGUGCGCGAACUUUUGACCUUGAUACAAUGAUAUGCCAGAGAAUUAAAGAUUAUAUUUAUAUAUUUAUUAUUGACAUGCGGUGCUCAUAAAAUGUUUCGCCAAUUUUUCAAGUCUGUUUAUUACAAUAAACAACAAGAUAAAUGUCAUUGAGUAACAUGACUUAUCGUGAAGUAACUAACUUUAAGACAACAAUUGUUCCAAAUGAAUUAAUAAAGUGUUUGCUGCGUUUCUGGUUUUACGUUACUUCUAGACGGCAGACUAAAGUCAUUGUAAGUGUCAUUAACCCAUUAAGAGUCAGCGCUCUCCCCUUGACGAGUAAAAUUGUCUGGCAUUAGACAGAGUAAAAUACUAAAGUAGGGUGCAUCAGGGUGCAAUGCGACUCAAUGGGUUAACUAGACACAUGGGCAGAUAGGCCAGUUAACCCAUUAAGCGCCAGCGUUCUCCCCUUAAUGAGUAAAAUCAUCUGGCGUUAGACAGACUAAAAUACUAAAGUAGGGUGCAUCAGGGUGCAAUGCGACUCAAUGGGUUAAAUUAAACAUGCGCCGAAAUAUUUGUUUGUCAAUUGCUGCAUAGCUGUUAUGGUAUAUGUUAUGUAGCAUAUAAGGGGAGGAGCUCACACUCACAGCUUGUUAAUAUCUCACAGAUUUCGAAAAUAACACAACUGGUUCUUAAAUAUGUUGGCAUUGUUGCACAUUUUAACUAUUAAGAGUAACAUCAGUAAGUUCAUUUGCAUCUAAUUACAUAAAACUUUCUCCUUCUGAAAUACAUAAUCAAAACAUCGCUACAUGCAAACUCAUGGGUAUUCAACAAAUAACAAUAUGGUUUUGUUUGUUUAAUAUAUAUAAAUAAAAGCUACCAAAACUUGUGUGUAUAAGGUAUAGAAGAAUCUGAAAAUGCCAUUUCCAAUGAUCUAGAGACUCCAUAUUUUCAAAAAUUUUCCGCUCGCCACCAACCAUGGUGGCGCCCGUGGCGUGGGUCCCCCAAAACAAAAUCUCACACAUAUUUUUUGCCAAAGUUGGCAACUAUGGGAUAAUGCAUGGAGCAUGUACUGAUCCACGACAAUGCUCACAUUUAGUCUUUUUAUUCUUAAUAGACCUUACAGAUUAUUCUCUUUUACACAACAUCAUUUGCCAUCGUUUCCAUGUUAACUUAUUUUAAAAGCAUGUCAGGGGCAGAUAAAGAUUGUAUUUCCAUGUUUUCCUGGACGAAUUUGUUUCUUGCUGUUCUUAGGCUCAAUAACAAACUAAGUAGUUUUCAACCCUACUAAGCACAAAACAUGAGUCAGUAGUUGACAUUGAAAACGAGGCCAUUGGAUAAAACAGAUUCUUUGGUCGUGGUCGUCGGUAAAACUUAGAUGUUACACCCCCAGUUAAAAAGUUCACGCUACGCCCCUGGUUGAGUGCCAGUGCUGUUUUGAAUAUUUAGAGGUUUCGUGCUGUACCAUGCUAUGUGAGUACUCACCAAGCUAUUCAAAAACAUUGACACUCAAGGAAAGCUCAAAAUUGAAUUGCAUGGAAUGUGAGUGAGCCUUUAGAAUAGUCAGGAAUUAGUGUUGGGAUUGGGGCUGGUGUUUUUUUAAUGUCAUCACAGUAAUUUGUAGCACAAAACAUUCCAGCCUUAAAUAUAGCCAACCCACUGGCAAGGCUUGGUUAGCCCCCAUGAAGGCAAAGACUGUGGGGAUUCCAUUAUUCCAAUCUCGUAUUUGGGGCGACAAUUUAGUGGUCAAGGUGUUGCCUUCUUGUAAUCGUCCAUUAUGUUCCAGAACUGAGUCACUGAGAUGGGUUUUGCAGGUUUCAAUUGACUAGUACAUUAUAUGGCAUAGUAUAUUGCGUAGAUUUACAUUGUUUGUUUUUUUAUAAUAAAACCUUAAACAUUAUUUGCAUCGAUCUUCAUGUGAAUCCUUUCUCCAACCUACAGUUAGUUAAUUUUCAGUUUAACUGAAAGACAGCAUUUACUUGAUAAGAACAUGUUGAUUUUGAGUGGUCAUAAAAAUUCUGAAAAUCAUGUGGAUCUGCAUACUGGUAGGUGAAUUGGACCACUGAUUAUGAAUGUUGUGGUAUUGAGAGCUUCAAAAAUUACUUAACAACAUGGUAGGGUGUUUGUAGGGCAUUACCAAAACGUUUUAACUAAUUGAAUAGUACCUCCUAUAGUUUAAAGAGACUGCUCAAACUGGUACUCUAUUCUACCUUAACCCAUUGAGUGGUGUGGUCUCCCCCUGGAGAGUAAAAUUGUGUGGCGUUAGACAGAGUAAAACAAUACCAAAUACCCUAAUCCUGAAGUUUCAAGUAGUUGCUCAACUCAAAGCCGGUUUUGUCUUGUGAUUUUUCGGGUGGAACUAGUUAGAAAAGACAAAGAAAGAUUCUGCUCCGCACACAAAAUUCUGCCUCAUGGAUAACCGGCUCAAGGGCAGUGUGUUGGUGUGCAGGUUUACCAGUGCCAUUGAUUCUGUUUUAUACUACAUAUCAUUCUUCAAGCUAAAACAAAUUUAAUUGUGAUUUUGAAAUAUAUUAUACAUAGAUUGAUAGGAAGUAUAAUAAAACCACACUAAGAAAAUACUAGUACAUACAAGUAAGGUGUUGCCGACUCUUUAAGCAAUAAGUGUCAAGUUCAGGUUUGUGCUUGGCUCUUUGACGUUAGAAAUUCGCGUUUGUAUGCCUACGCAUGCCUUUAGUCAUUCAAGCGUGAAAUUUAUAAUUUAAAACCAAAUGACAACUUCGAACCUCAAGUUUUCAGGAGAAAGCGAAUGGUAAUUAAACUUCAGUUGGUUAAUUGAUUAAUGGGCAAUUUAGUAAAUUACAUGAAUAUUUGGUAUGUUUGAAAAUUUGUGUAAAAGCUGCAUGGUGAAUGACAACAGCAAAAACCUCAAUUGAAACUUUCACAGCGGUUAGCAGUUCGCUGUUAACGUCAGUCUUAAGGUCAUAUGUCUACAUGGCCUCAUCACAGAUGAUAGAUUAUACCAGAUGAAUCACUGUGUAUCUAUGAUCUAUCCCUAUGAUUUUCGUGUCCGCGAUUUUCGCGAGGCUGUCACGCCAGAUGACGCGUGCGACACUUACUGCCAAAAUGGCGCUUACUGCCAAAAUCUUACCAAAAUGCGUGAAUGCUCACGUUUCAUGGCGUGGAUUACACUUGCUGCCAAAAUGGCGGCCAACGCGUGUUCAUAAAAAAUCGCGGACACAAUUUUGGUUGAGUGAUUCAUCUGGUAUUAUCUAUCAUCUGUGGCCUCAUCUUGAAAAUGACAAUAAACGUCGCUUACGUCAAUUAAAAAAAAAACUUCGUUGUCUCGAGCGUUUAAGUGGCUGUCUCACUAAGAACCAUGCAGAGCGUUUCAAGUUGAAAAUUAGAUUUCCUUUAUAUUUUUACCAUGAACUACCUUUGUCCUAAAAGGUAUUAAACUAAGAUUAGAAUUUCUAAAUUUUUCUUUUUUUUUUAGUUAUGACGAAUUUUUGUCUAGACGUCAGCGACUCUGAAAUUUGACCCAGAAAACGGCGGUCAAUUGUGUGUUAAAUUGUGCAACAUAACUCGGAAAGUUUCGCGUCAAAUUAAAAACUUUUUUCAGCGUAUUGAGACAUAUUCUUCUUCUUUUAGAAUGAUGAAAGUAUUUCAAUGUACAUCUUAUUUUAAGCCUACUACUCUCCAUUCAAGGAAGUCGGUAUUUUCGUUCGCCGAACAACUAAUGAUUAGGUACAAAAUUCAAACUAAAAAUUCUCAAAAGUGCAACCUACUUGGUGUCUAAACCACUUUUAGGGUUAAAGUAGAAUACUUGAAGUUAUGUUAUUCGCAAUAAAACUUGUCGGCAAAAGGAAUAUGAAGGAGUGCAAGAUUCAUAAAUUAUGGCUAUAAAUAGCUCUAUUGUUUACCUUUGUGAUAACCGGAAACACGUUCAGUGUUGCUCGCGGAGCUUUUAUAGCGACUAAUAUAUUGCACAAUAUCAUUGUAUUUAACUCAGAAAAGUUUAAUUCGAUCGAUGAAAUGCGACGGAUCGAUCUUUGAGGUCUAAAACGGUUAGAAGAAAUAAAUUCGUCUAGGACGUUGUAGCCUUAUCCUCAUGACCGGACAAGUAGAAUGUCAAUGUUAAAAAUGUAUCGGUUGCCGUAACGUCGCAUCGAAUUAAUAAAUCCAUGAACUUGUUAUUAUGUUCUGUUAAAAGUUUUCCGCAUUGCCCAUUUGGCAGAAUUUUUGUCCUAUCAUGCAAACCAUUCAAUUCGUCGUAUACUGAGAUCUGUCCUUUAUCUUCACUUUAAUCUAUACAGCAAUAAUAAUAAUAAUAUUACAGUAUUUUGCAGUUAAUCCCCAUGCAUUCUAUGAAUAACUUAGGGUUAAAGUAAAAUACUUGAAGUUCUGUUAUUCGCAAUAAAACUGUCGCAAAAGGAAUAUGAAGGAGUACAAAAUUCAUAAAUUAUGGCUAUAAAUGGCUCUAUUGUUUACCUUUGUGACAACCGGAAACACGUUCAGCGUUACUCGUGGAGCUUUUAUAAAUUUAUAUUAGCAAUUAUUAUAAAUAUAAAAUAGUGUUUAUAAGUUCUUAUAUUUGAAUACAAACACCGCCUUGUUAAGCUUUCGGGAAGCCUUUACAAUUGGUCGUUUUAAACUUGAUUAAAAUCACUAAAUUGUUGCACGCCAACAUAAUGUACAAUAUAUUAUCGUUGUUUAAUAUGUCUGAUGAGUGUGCCAUAAAUAGAAUACACGCUAUAUUACGAAAGCAACAACUUAACUUUAUAGUUAACUUGCUACCUGGAUAGUUAUUUUUCGCGUGUUAAUUCUUCAACAAACAAUUUAAUCUCGCAAAUGUAAUCUUUAAUCAAACGUUCGGGAGUUGUCGAAAAAAUUUCGAGGUAGAUUACGUUUGCAGCCAAAUUUUAAGUUUCUCUAAUUUAUAAAAUAAUAAUAAAAAAAGCACAAAGACAAAUGCUUGUGGACCACUUGUGGAAAAUGUUUGCUGAGAUAGACGUAUGCCGUCCUAUAUACCACGACGCGUAUGAUUUAUGUGACAUGUACAAACAGAAGAGCCUAUUAGGCCCGGUUUAGACGGCGAACUUUUCAUGCGCCGAAUCUAAUUGCCGUAGAUACGGCAAAAUAUUGGAAACUGAUUUAGACGUCAAACUUAAUUGUGCCGUACCAAAUUGCGAGGACACUAUAUUGGACAUAUUUACAAUGCAAAUAUAUGGUAAUCAUAUUAUGAUGUUAAAAAAUAAUUAUGCCAUUAGGUUCGGCGCAUGAAAAGCACGGUGUCUAAAUCAAUGUCGAACUUGUGUCGCAUAUACGACUUGUCUUGUCGCAUCUUCGAGUCGUGUCGAACUUAAUCAAAACCUGUCGAACUUAAUUGAUUUAGACGCCGUCCCAGCGUCGCACUUAAUCCUUACAUUAGAUUCGGCGCAUGAAAAGUUCGCCGUCUAAACCGGGCCUAUAGAAAUUUGUGCGCAUUUUGAACUUCAGUUCAAAUCAAAUGAUAAAAAACAGAUUCUCAUAGAUAAAAUAUCAUCCAUGAUUGGACAAUGCACAUGUUUCCAAAUAAAUAACUAAAUUGUGCAGGUGCGGACAAAUACUCCCAGACUAACUUGGACAUGUCGAGAGAUGUCAUUGUUCUUGGUCCGCGAGUGUGAGGAGCCUGGAACAGUAUCGUUAACCCAAAUCAAGUAUCAAAAACGCCGCAUACAAACUACGAUGUUAUGUAUUUUUAUUGCUAUAAUUUAUACUACUAUAUAUUAUGAGACAAAUCAAAUGUUGCCGAAAAAUACCAAUUGAAGUUGAAAGUUAUUCACAGAAUGGCGAUUAGCUGCAAACUACUGUAAGAUUAUUAUUAUUGCUGUAUAGAUUAAAGAUAAAGGACAGAUCUCAGUAUACGUCGCAGUUUAUACGAUGAAUUGAAUGGUUUGCAUGAUAGGACACAAAUUCUGCCAAAUGGGCAAUGCGGAAAACUUUUAACAGAACAUAAUAACAAGUUCAUGGAUUUAUUAAUUCGAUGUGACUUUACGGCAACACACAUUUUCGAUAUUGGCAUUGUACCUGCCCGGUCAUGAGGGAUAGGCUACAGCGUCCUAGACGAAUUUAUUUCUUCUAACCGUUUUAGACCUCAAAGAUCGAUCCGUCGCAUUUCAUCGAUCUAAUUAAACUUUUCUGAGUUAAAUACAAUGAUAUUGUGCAAUAUAUUAGUCGCUAUAAAAAUUCCGCGAGCAACAUUGAACGUGUUUCCGAUUAUCACAAAGGUAAACAAUAGAGCUAUUUAUAGCCAUAAUUUAUGAAUCUUGCACUCCUUCAUAUUCUUUUUGCCGACAAGUUUUAUUGCAAAUAACAUAACUUCAAUUAUUCUACUUUAACCCUAAAAAUGUUUUAGACACCAAGUAGGUUGCACUUUUGAGAAUUUUUAGUUUGAAUUUUGUACCUAAUCAUUAGUUGUGCGGCGAACGAAAAUACCGACUUCCUUGGAUGGAGAGUAGUAGGCUUAAAAUAAGAUGUACAUUCGAAUUCUUUCAAAACUCUAAAAGAAGAAGAAUAUGUCUCAAUACUCUGAAAAAAGUUUUUAAUUUGACGCGAAACUUUCCGAGUUAUGAUGCACAAUUUAACACAUAUUUGACCGCCGUUUUCGGGGUCAAAUUUCAGUGUCGCUGACGUCCAGACAAAAAUUCGUCAUAACUCAAAAAAAAAGAAAAAUUUAGAAAUUCUAAUCUUAGUUUAAUACCUUUAAGGACAAAGGUAGUUCAUGGUAAAAAUAUAAAGGAAAUCUAAUUUUCAACUUGAAACGCUCUGCAUGGUUCUUAGUGAGACAGCCACUUAAAAGUCGUCAUGAAAAGAUUUCGUGCACUUAAGGCGGUUUUCCAGUCCUCGCAGGAAGCUCCUCACAGCUCGCUGCGAGUGCUUGUGAUUGGAUGAAAGUGCUCAUGCAAUCCGCCUUUAAAGGGGCAAUGAUCGCAAUGUCACCGAUUUUUGACCUAAAAUGCCUUUUAUUAAAAAACUGAACUACAAAGUUAAAAAUGAACAUUGUAAAUGGAUUAAGUUAUGAUAUAUAUGAGUCAUAUUAAACAACUUUGAACUUCCACGCAACAUGUAACGUGACAUUUUCAUAAAAAUUGACCUAAACUUGAAAAAAUGUCCGCCAACAAUUAAUCAAGAUGCCAUUUACAAUCCAUCUCAAUCCUGACGUAAUCUUGCCCGUCCAGACUUCUGUACAUGUUUUUUGUGUCUGUUGUUGCUUUAUUUUGUGCUUACACUCAUUCUUUUUCAGUUUUCGGAAAAUUGCCCCCUAAAUUGAAUAAACUAGCUUCCAAUCUCCGUUGACUCGAAUGUGCUUAGUGAUUGGUAGAAUGACUAGAACCAUGAACUCUUCUCACCAAACACAGCCAAACGCAACAAAGUUCAUUUGUGGGGUUCAAUAUAUGGUUUUCCUGCAGGAAACAAAAGGAGUUGGAUAUAUGGCCCUAAGAACUCAUUUCCAUCUAUGUUUUUCUAUAUUUUAUACUAAAUUGUUUCCUUAUCUCUUCAGCUUAAAUUAAGUCUUAGUUAGAUUCAUUAAUAAUAGAUUAAGUCGAGUUAGAUUCAUCAAAAAUUAUGUUUAAACGUUAAAAAUGUUCCGCUGUAUGCGCUUUCCAGUUUCCGCUAUCCAGUAUCCGCUGUCACCUUGAUCUCUUCUCAAAUUUAAGCCUUUGUUUUAAUUCUGACAAGCGCUGAAAUUAAGGCAUAACCUAUUUUAAAAAUGUAAAACCUAACCUUAACCCUAGCCUUAAUUUUGAUGCCCAACCCUGCUCUCCACACCUUCCGACAUCCUUCCGCGGCUAAUACCCUAAUAGAAAAAAUGUGUCCCAUUAUUGUGAUCUAAUUAAGGCAUACACUGUAGCCUUAUAAAUUAUGUCAAUUAUAAAUUUAAGGGAGGAGAUCAUGUUGCCGCUGUCCAUGUUUCCAACAAAUCAAUGAGCGGAAAUCGCGUAAAAGAAAUGGAUUAUUACUAGACAUGGAUUAUCAUCAUUGCCAUAUUUACUAUUAACUGAAAGAAUAUUCGAUGCACCAACUCCAGCGCUAAAAUCUUUGAGACUACAAUAAUUAUGCUAUAAUUGCCUACGACAACAGAUUUUGAUGGUUGUCCGAUUUUGAACUCGUUCAAGAUCGUUACAUACAGUAAAUAUACUGGGAAAGCAUGAUGGAAUACAGGAGCACAAUACUCAAAUACAGUUUCCCAGGUUAGUGAUAUCUUCCUGUAACUUUACUACAUCAUUAGGCGAUUGUAUUGCCUUGAAGACUUUGGUAUCGUCCACAAACAUUGCAACGCGACUUGACUUCACAUUGCUUGGUAGAUCAUUGGAGGAACAAUGCUGGACCAAGUAUUGAACCUUGCGGUACACCAGAUGAGACAGGAAGUAGAUCUGACGUUGCUCCUAACACUGUUACACGUUGUUUACGAUUUUCUAGAUAGCCACGGAACCAUCUGAGGAGAUUACCUCCAAAACCAUAAUCUUUCUGCUGCUUUUCUAUUAAUACUUCAUGAUCGACCUUGUCGAAUGCCUUUGACAUAUCCAUAUAAAUCAUGUCUAUAUGCCCUCCACUGUCUAGACACGAUCCAACGUAGUCGAGUGUGUCGAUGGGGUUUGGUAUGCAAGAUCUCCCAGCCAUGAACCAAUGUUGACACAUGUUAACUGCAUCAUACAAACGAGUUUUGAUGUUUAGGACACAGCGUUCCAGAACUUUGGAUGUAAUACAUAAUAGGGAAAUAGGGCGAUAGUUCUCAGCACACUCUUUGUCACCUUUCUUGUGCACGGGCACUAUAAAUUGAACAGCUUGCAUAAGGAAGGUGUUAUCACAUCUGCUGUUUCCUUCAGUAGUCUUGCAGGAACACCAUCAGGACCUGUUGCUUUGCUUGAAUCAAGUGAUCUUAACACAUAAGAAACUUCGGCUUCACUAUAAAUGUUAAAUCAGUCCUGAUUGGCUCGUCAGACUCAAUGACGUCUUCCUCGUUAGCUUUCUUUCUUGAAAAUACUGACGCAAAGUAGUGGUUGAACAUGUUUGCUAUACCAUCUGCAUGGAUUAUCGGCCACCAUUCGUUGCGUUGUAUUUGCACCAGGUGUGUUGACGUUGUUUGCGGAUGAAAUGAUGUCAGGGAUGUUUCUUGUCUUUGAGCUUCUUUUCAAUACCGACCAGAAACGCUUUGGAUUUUGUUUAAUGUCAGUCCCAAAAUUAUUGAAAAACUUUUCCCGACUUUUCCGCAACAUAUGCUUGACUUCAGAUCGCAAGGUCUUGAAUUGCUGCUGCAGUCGAAGUUUUUUCCGAGCUGAUGGCAUUAAGAAUGGUACCAUUGACCAAUGGAGCUGGAUUGCGUCCUUUGAUCUUUUUCAUCGGUAUAUAAUACGACACGGCUGUUAAAAACGCAUGUUCAACGAGAGACGUCAAAUUGAUUGCGUUCAAUGCACGUCGCAGUCCUCCAAAGUCACAAGCGUUGUAGUUAUAGACAUACCUCUCAACUGUGAGUGAUCCGUCAUUAUUUCAGUUGUCUCUGGGCGAAGUACUUCAGACACAGUAGAGAGGUUAAGAUACCCCGGUUUCGGUGUACGGGUACGAGUAGUGUCAUCUUGUUUUACUGAUGUCUGUAAUUCGAUCAUACUUUUUCUGUUUUCUUGCAAUAGACAAUGAUAUAAUGCGAAAAAUGUGCACCUUACGAGUAAAGGUACAGACAUCGACGAAAAUAUUGCUAACCAAAAUCAUGCUACUCGUACCCGUACACCGAAACCGGGGUAUCUUAACCUCUCUAGUGACUAGUUCUGGAACGGUGGUGAUAACAAGAUCUAGUAUUUUGUUGGCACGAGUAGGGAUGGUGUUUACUUGAAUGAAAUAGUGGUCAUCAAGUACAUUAUGUCAACGAAGUUCACCUCAUUCGCACCAGAUACAUUCAAUGUUGCAUCCCACGAGAUGUUGGGUAGAUUAAAAUCACCAGAUAUCACUACGUUUUUAAACUGAUCGCAAACUUGAUCCAGGAAUGUGUUGAGUAUGCUUGUCCAAGUUCUGUCAGCGUCAGGUGGUCUGUAGCAAGAAGAGAAGAGGAUAUUUUGGUUUGAAGCAGUUUUUACUAUUGCUGAAACAAUCUCUAAUUCUUUUAUGUCAUCCGGUUUUGAGACGAAUUCCUUAACCGAGCUAAACGAACUAGAUUUGAUUGCAACCAAGCAAGGUCUUAGCUAGGAUUUUAGAUCUUGGGCGUGUUUCUAAAUGACCAAGGUGUGCACAUGUCAAUUACCUUGAAUAACCAAAUUCACGGUACUACAACAACGGACAAUGCCUGUGGUUGUUCUAUGCUUUGCAACCAAUUACAAGGCGAGCAUAUACUCAUAUUGCGCACUGACAUUAAAAUGUUAAGUUAUUUCAGCAACUCUUGUGGGUAUUUAAUUAAAACCACUUUAACACCUUUCGGUUGGGCAUUAUCCAUCAAAACAUUAAAACAUCACGGAUCACUUUUGCCAAUUUCAACAACAACAAUAGAUUUUACAAACUUUCUUAUGACGUAUAAAUAGAAAGAAAUUCUGUCUGUUGUAAGUAGCACCAUCUUAUUUUAUGAACCUACACGGCCUUGCAUAAAUAAUGAAGCCGCGUUCAUUUUAUCUAGCCGUGUUUUUCCAUUUUUGGCCGCGAUAACACGGCCAACACGGCCCUCUAGCUAAGACCCUGCAACCAAGACCCCGCCACCAUUGUGUCCAACUCUGUCUUUCCUAAAGAUGUGAUAGUUAAGAGUUUAAGAUCUCAGAGUUACUUAUGUUUUCAUUAAGCCAUGUCUCAUUUACACAUACGACAUCCAAGUUUUCUCCGUACACGAAGUCUUGAAAUCUUUGAAGAUUGCAGAUGAUCGAAUUAGUGGUGACAACUUUGUGGAUGCUUUUCAAACCAAACGUAUUACAUAACGUUUGAAAGAUUAUUGUGCAAGGACUUGUUUACGUUCUGAAGUGUGGGAUUAUUAUUCAUAUUUCGGCGAUUUGUGGCGAUAUAUUUCAUAUCUGUGAGCGAUAUAUUUUCUGUGUAACUUGUAUACUGUGAAGGGUGUUACGGCAACCCGCGAGUUUAGCUUGCGACUAGGCUAGAGUGUGCGAAGUUCCUAUACUACGAGAUUCGGCCCUAGGGGGGCCCUCUAGACGUACAGUGAUUUUCAAGCAUUUGUGAUUUUUUGGAGUGAUUAGUGAAUUUUGGCAGCUCUUCCCAAAUUUUAGUUGGCUGGAAGGACUUUCUACAAGUGCUACAUCUUAUUGGCAAAUUCUGUGUACUUUAUAAUCAUACAACAUCAAACCUAUUAAUACUAUGGCAACUGGGAACAGUGUAAUUGAGAAUAAGGUAGUACAGCUUAAGCUUAUAGUCGGGCGAACCAAAAAGAUUCUGGAAUCCGGAAAUCAAGAAGCAGUUGAGCAACAACAACGAGCUUUGCGAACCAUUGUUGCUGACAUAGACAAAUGUAAAGUGGAAGAAGAAGCAAGAAUGCCAAAAACAUCACUGACUAUAUCAGCAAUUGAUUAGCGGACACAGGUAAUUCGAUUAAGCCUCCAAAUUCCACAGACCAAACUAGAACCAUCCCUAGUAAAGCAAUACAAUACGAUUUUGGUAUCUAAACUCAAAGGUUUCAAAAUCGCUUCCUUAAACAUUGCAAGCUUAGUAAAACACAUUGAUCAGCUACGGAUAAACAUGAAAGAGCAAACCAUUGACGUCUUGGCUUUAAAUGAAACACGACUUGAUAGUACAAUAAGCAAUCUUGAAAUUGGCAUUAAUAAUUGUAUAAUCAUUCGCCGUGACCGAACAAGACACGGUGGAGGUGUUGCAAUAUAUAUUCGAAGUACAAUUGAGUAUAAAAUCCGUGACGAUCUUAAAGAUGAUGGCCUUGAGUUUCUGUGUAUUGAAAUAACCAAACCUAAAAUUAAACCUUUUCUUAUAUCAACAUGGUAUAGGCCACCUAAUUCACCUGUCGAACUUUUUGACAAAUUUCAUGUAAUUCUUGAGAAAAUCGAGUCAUUGCACAUCGAGUCGACUAUUGUUGGUGACCUAAAUUGCAAUGUUGCAGCCAACAAUGUCGAUAAUAAUACAAAACAUUUACUUGAUUUAUGUGAAUUGUACCAGUAUAGUCAACUUAUCCAGGAACCAACGCGUAUCACUAGUAGUUCGUCCACACUAAUUGAUCUUCUCCUCACAAAUGAACCAAGUAAAUUUUCCAUAUCAGGGGUUAAACAUAUUGGAAUAAGUGACCAUAGUCUAAUAUAUGCUUCAAGAAAACAUUGCGACCGAUGCAGAUCAAAACCCAAAAUACUAGAAAAUCGCUACUAUAAGCAUUUCAAUAUCGAAAACUUUAAGCGUGAUAUAGACCUAGCUGCUUGGCAGUCAAUAUCAUUAGUAACUGAUCCUGUCAAGGCAUGGGAUCUUUGGAAAUCCACAUUUCUCAAUAUUGCAGACUUACAUGCUCCAAUUAAAAAACGACGAGUUAGGAAAACUUAUGCACCCUGGUUAACUACUGAGAUCAAACAUUUGAUGUGGGAGAGGGAUCGCUUGAAACGAAUUGCUGUAUUAACUAACGAGGAAUCAGCUUAGUUUAACUUUAAAAAUCUUAAAAACCAAGUUAACUUUAAAAUUAGGGAAAAUAAGACACAAUAUUACAACUCGUUUUUUAAUGAUAAUCUGGGUGAUUGCAAAAAAACUUGUAAUGGUAUAAAUACUAUACUAUCCAAGAAUAAAAACCUUACCCAUACGGAAAAAGUCGUCGUUGAUGAUGCUGUAAUCAAUGAUCCGCUCGGGGUAAGCAAUGCUUUCAAUAGGCACUUUACUGGCAUAGGACCCAAACUUGCGGCAAAAGUCUCAGUUAAUUUAAAUGCAAACUAUGACCAUAUUAACAAACCUGAAAAUGAAUUUGAACUUCUAUUAGUCAGUGAGUUAGUAGUUUCAAAGUUAGUUGAGAAACUGUCAACACGUAAAGCCAAUGGUCUAGAUAACAUUCCAGCUUGUUUGUUGAAAGCAAGUGCACGAACCACGAUAAGCUCGUUGACUUACAUUAUAAAUUUGGUAAUCCAUACUGGCACUGUCCCACAUGACUGGGAAAGAGCUAGGGUUACUCCUAUUCAUAAGGAAGAUUGCAAAAUGGACCCCAAUAACUAUAGACCUAUAUCCGUAUUAUCUAUGGUUGCAAAAUUAUUUGAAAAAGUGAUCUUUGAUCAAACUUAUGAAUUCCUAUGUAAUAACAAUCUUCUCUCAGAUGCCCAAUCUGGUUUUAGGCCUUUGCAUUCCACUUUAACAGCACUGCUAGAUAUCACUGACAAAUGGUAUUCCAAUAUGGACAAUGGUUUAAUCAAUGCUAUACUUUUUAUUGACUUAAAAAAAGCUUUUGAUACCAUUGACCAUGAAAUUCUUCUAAAUAAAUUAUCUCGAUAUGGUUUUAAAUGCAAGACCAUUGAACUUUUCCGCAGUUAUUUAACGGGACGUACUCAAAUAACUGUUGUUAACAAUAUCCCAUCUGAUAGCUCUGAUAUUACAUGUAGGGUUCCUCAAGGAUCCAUUUUAGAACCAUUGUUAUUCCUGUUGUACAUUAAUGACCUACCAAAUUGUAACUUGAUAUCCGAUGGACAUCUAUAUGCUGAUGAUACUAGCUUGACAUAUGCGGAUAACGACAUUAAUCAACUACUCUCCGUAAUGAAUAGUGAUUUACUUUCGCUUAGAAAUUGGCUUAACAUAAAUAAGCUCAGUCUAAAUACACUUAAAACAAAAUGUAUGUUCAUCGCAACUCGACACAAAUUGGCUACCUUACCAAGUCAACCAACAGUGGCCAUCGAUGGCAAUAUCAUUGAGCGAGUUAAAAAAUACAAAUGCUUGGGCUUGGAGCUGGACGAGUGCUUGAUGUGGGAUGAACAUAUUGCUCAAAUUACCUCAAAAAUUACCAAAAUAAUUGGAGUUUUAAGGCGAUUAAAAUCAUAUCUUCCGCGUCGUAUCCUAAUUUUAAUCUACAAAUCCUUGAUUCAACCACAUUUUGAUUAUUGCAGUAGUGUUUGGGGUAACUUGGGUAAGGGUCUGGCACAAAAACUCCAACAAUUGCAAAACAGAGCCGCUCGUAUUAUUAACGGUUCUCACUAUAGUGUCCGCUCACACGAGGUUCUAAGUGAAUUAAAUUGGUCAAACCCUAGAAGAAAGACGAUCUCAGCAAUUUAAAACGCUUAUGUUUAAAACAAUGAAUAAGAUGGUUCCAGAUUAUCUUUCGGAUAAAUUUACGUCCAUUAAUCUGGUUCACAACCAUAAUUUACGAGGCUCUAGUUCUAAAUAAUUCGUCCCUAGGCCUCAGACUGAGGCUCUCAAAAAAAGCUUUACUUAUCGGGGAACUGUUCUGUGGAAUAGCUUGCCCGUGGAAGCGAUUAAUGCUAAAUCAAUUGCUGAAUAUAAGUCUCAUUUAGCUUAGUUUAUAAAUUACUUCUCUAAUUGUAUAUAUUUAAUUGUAUUAAUCUAAUUAUAGGCUAUUUAUUUAAUUGUUUUAUUAUAGCUAUAGUUAUCUACAUAUAUUUGGUAGUUUUGCACGGCUCCAGGGAAGAGCACACUAUGUGAAUUGGACUCCGUGUUUUUAAAUAAAAUCCUAAUAAUAAUAAAAUGAUUGACGAGUAAAAGGAGUUGACAGAAAUUAGUGAAUGGAAUUUCAAACAUUGAGGAAAAGUUAUCUGAAGCAGACAAGGACAUUCAUGACCUGAGAGAAUGGUGUGAAAGUAAGAAACGAGAAUGCGAGGAAAACUAGCGGAAGCAAGAAUUAGAUUUUGAACAUGAACUAUUUCAGACACGCCUAGAAUUCCAGAAUGAGCUACAGGCAGCCAAACUAAAGCAUGAAUCAGCAAGUGUUGAAAAGAAAGAGUCACAAGCAAAGUUACCUAAACUCAUCAUUACUAAAUUUAAUGGUGCCUACCAAGACUGGCCUCGAUUCUGGGAACAAUUCCGAGAGACGGUGGAAAAACAAGUAUUGAUGCUGUUGUUAAAUUCGCAUAUUUACAAGAGUUGUUGGAACCAUAAAAUCAGGAAAUUUGUGGAAGCACUACCUUUUACAAGUGAAGGUUCUAAUAGAGCAAAGAGUAUCCCUCAGGACAGAUAUGGGAAACGAUCAUAAAUUAUAAAGGCUUAUACCAAGCAGAUUUUCGAUUUGCCCAAAAUUCCUGAUGGCAAUGUGAAGCGAAUUCAUGAGUUCUCGGAUAAAUUAUCAUAUACGGUGCAGUCUUUGGAAACACUUGGCAAACUUUCUCAAGUCAAUGGGUACGUAUCGAUGGCACCAGACAAACUACCUGGAAUACAUGUCGACCUUGUUCGAAUAGGUGAUGCUUGGGAAUCCUGGGACUUUGUAAAACUGUCUGAUGCUGUGAGACUUUGGACUCGGCAAACCCGGUUGAGAAGCUUCCUUCAGGGAAACUGCCAGGGCCUCCGAGGGGGGGGGGGGAAUUGCCCCGGGCCUCGGGGUGGUGGGAGCCCCUGAAACAUUUUUGUGUGUUAAAUAUUUCCGCGCAAAGGACAAGAUAUCUGUUUUCUUGGGCUAAGUACCGAACGUCCGGAAAUUUUUUUUACUCCGGAACGGGGGGGAAGGUUGUUCUCCGGAAAAAAAUUUAGAUAGGGGGCCCCCCAAAAAAAAUUUGCCCUGGGCCCCCGCCAACCUCUCGGCGGCCCUGGAAACUGCUUAAUAUCCGACGUCAAGAUUUUACUCCCAAGGGGUGUGUCUAUUGUACUGAGAAAUCACACAAAUCAGCUGAGUGCCCAAAAGUAUCAUCUGUGUCUGAAAGACGGUUGAUUCUUACCAAACAACAUCUGUGUUAUAACUGCACCGGUUCAUCACACCGUGCGAGUGAUUGCCCAAGUCACUCUAAAUGUCAAAAGUGUGGGCGGCGUCACCACACCUCAGUUUGUGAUAAUGAUUCCAAGAGUGGAGUGAAGGGGAAGAAAUUGCUAAUUUCAUGUGAGGUGAAUCCGGAAGGAAUCUUUCCUGUUGUUAGAAUGAAAGUGGAUGACGUUGAAUGCAGAGCUCUGAUCGACUCCGGAGCAGGGAGCUCCUAUGCUUCUGUAAAACGAAUUAAUCUCCUGGAAAAGAAACCAGUUGAAGUAGUUCACAAUGGCCAAAGAUGGUAUGAAACUGCGCUACCAUGGCGUGGAAAUCACCCGAAUCUUCCACAUAGGCGUCAAAAGAUCGAUAAGUUGGGGGGGGGGACCAUAUUCAUAUAUUCGUGUUCUGCAUUAUUAAUUUCUUUUGAAAUCGAUUGUUUUUAAGGUAGAUGAACACGAAUAUAUGAAUAUGGUCCCCCCCCCCCCCNNNNNNNNNNNNNNNNNNNNCCCCCCCCCCCCCACUUAUCGAUCUUUUGACGCCCAUGAUCAAAAGGCAUUCCUCCAAGUACGCAUUAAGGCUGCUGAACGUGACGCUCUAAGAUUUCAUUGGAAACAUCCUGGGGACAAUCAAAUACAUAUCUACAGGUUCACUCGUGCCCCCUUUGGAUUGACAUGCUCACCUUUUCUCCUCGGAGGAGCUAUUUAUCAGCAUCUAUAACUUUGGCGUGACAGGAAGCCUGCGAUAGUGGAGGAGCUAAGGAACAAUUUGUAUGUUGAUGAUCUAUUAUCUGGCGGAAACACUGUUGCAGAAGCUGGUGUUAAGAAGUUAGCAAUGACCGAAGUACGGGCUGAUGGUGCUUUCAAGUUACAUAAAUGGAAUUCCAAUGAAAGGGGAUUAGAGGACGGUGAAAAAACUAGCAGUGAGGGUGAACAAACAUUCGCAAGAACACAGUUAGGUGUGGAUCCGAAUGAAUCCAAAUUACUCGGUCUUAAAUGGGAAAAGGAUGAAGAUACCUUGAGUGUUGUGUUCCCAAGUGAUCCACCAGCGACUACUAAGCGUGGAAUGUUGUGUAAAUUAGCAGGAGUUUAUGAUCCUCUCGGAUUAGCUUCGCCAAUCACCGUAAGCGGGAAGAUGGUAUACAGAGACGUAUGCGAUUCGAAGGCCUCGUGGGAUGCAGAACUCAGCGGUCAAAGUGCUCAGGAGUGGAGUAUAUGGGAGAAGGGAAUACCCGAGUUAGUAACUGUACCACGGUCACUUGCAAAAUUCCAAGACGAUAUUCAUUCAGUGACUCUCCAUGCCUUUGGAGAUGCUAGCAUCAAGGGCGUAAGUGCAGCCGUGUAUUCAGUAGUGAACCAACCAUCAGGGACAACUCAAACCUUGGUGGCUGCGAAGUCUCGGUUAGCGAAACGCAAUCUCAAUACCCGAUCUUUCUACCAGACACAGCAUCUUACAUGAAAGCAUUAGUAUUCCAAGCCCAUUUGGAUACUCUUCAUGGGGGAGUAACCCUUACCAUGGCUAAAUGACGAGAGCAGUAUUGAAUUCCGAGGUUAAGGCGAUUGGUAAAGCUAGUUAGGAGUUCUUGUUAUGGGUGUGUACGGUUUCGAGGUACAUCGUAUUCUUCGCCACCCCCGGACAGCUACCAACCAGUCGUACGCAAGGCGAAACUCCGUAUGCAGUGUCGGUAUUGACUUUGCGGGACCGAUAAAGUACAGAAUCAAAGCGAAAACUGAUGGGAAGGCAUAUCUGAUCCUUUAUGCUUGUAGUCUGACGCGAGGAGUCUAUUUGGAACUGUUAUAUUCCUUGGAAACGGACGAAUUUGUGAGAUCAUUAAUAAGAUUCGUAGCAAGACGAGGAAGACCAAGAAUUAUUUACUCUGACAAUGGUAGAGACUUGUGGGAGUUUUCAAAUUGGAAUUUCACAAGACAGUUGUAAACGGUACCUUGAAUUUUGAUGAGUUGUCUGCGAUCGUAUUGGAUGUUGAGACGUCUAUCAACGGUCGUCCGUUAGAUUAUGUGGAAGAUGAUAGUCAACUCCCUCUACUCACACGCAAUUCCUUUAUGUUCCUUCAACCUACUCAGCCGUUAGAAUUGGAGCCACGUCACCUUCAGGAAACUACGUUACGAAAGCGAGCUAGAUAUCUGUCUGAAGUGAAGGAUGCGUUAUGGGCAAGAUGGAGUAAAGAGUACGUACGAAGUCUGCGCGAGAAACAUCGAUUACUACAGCAAGAUAAGAAGACCGAAUCACCAGAGGUUGGCGAUAUUGUCAUAAUUAGAGGUGAUGAAAAGAAUCGGAAUCUAUGGAAACUCGGGAAAGUAGUUCGUCUUAUACUCGGUCGUGAUGGAGAAAUUCGCGGCGUUAAUUUAAGGUUCCAACGGGAAAUGGAAUUUUGGAGAGAACCCCUCAGCACCUCUACCCUUUAGAGUUGAAAUGUGACUUCAUUGACUCGAAGCAACCGUUGAAUCCUGAUGUUGAAGAGUUUCGUCCACGACGGGGAGCGGCAAUAGCAGCUGAAAAACAAAUAAGAGCUAUAAACAUGUACAAUGACGAUUAGUUACUAGCAAUACCUCAGUCUCCUUUAGGGCAUCUAGCAGUUAUUACAGCUAUAUGGGGGGAGGGUGUCGGAGACUGGAAACGAACAGUGUUAAAUUUUUGUUGAGUUAAGCACAUUUUGUGACACUUGUGAGAGCGAAGUGAGAUUUUAUAGCGAGUCGAUUUCUAUUAUUAAAUAUAACUUUUAACCUUUAAUUUGUGAGUGAUUUUAAGUGAAGUGACAUAUUAUUUGUUGGGAAUCAGUUUUGGAGGCAAACUUUCCUAACAGAGGGUCUGAUGCGAUCUUUGCCACAAUCCGCAUUACUUAACUUGUUAUGUAUUGUGUUUGUGUCUGUGUGCUAAAGUGUGAAAAGUGUGUGUAUGUUACUGUAUUUCACGCAAUUCAGCCUUUAUAUAGGCUGCUAUGUAAAAUUUUAUUAAACCGUCUAUUAUUAUUAUUAUUAUUUCUAUUUAACUUACGUAUUUUGAGUUACAUGGAAGCAUUAUCAAUCUCAUGUGUGCCAUGGACCACCAUAAUGUGUAUACUGUUGCAGUAUAAAUGCGAAACCAUGGACAAAUGUAGCCUACCGUUAUACCUCCAACCUUCAAAAUAUUGCAUUGUGGGCAAGGACGUCAAUAUCGAUAUAUGUUUAAGAAACAGAAAACAAGUCGCAUGCGUUAUGGCCAGUGAUAAUGCACGAGGGGAAUGUUAGGAGAAUACGAGAGAAGCGUAGAAAACACGAGGCGUUUUUGUUAAGUAGUUAUUCUGUUUUGAUUUGCUAAAUUUAUAUCAUCGUAUUAUUUGUGUUUCGCUCGAGCUGUUUUUAUAACUAAAGAAGCAUUCGAGGCGGAACUUUCCGAAUGAAACCUGGUUAGUUUUUGUAGUUUUUUGCUAGGUAUUGUCUAUUCUUGAAGGUUUUUAAAAAAAUUUUCGCUCGUUUAUUCUCGUUUAUAGCUAGACUCAAAAACUGUAGCGAAAACGUAUUUCCACGGUUUCAUUUUUGUCUUGUUGUUUAUCGUUGUUUUAUUUUCGUUUCCUGUCUAUUGUCAUUUGAUUUCUAGACAUUUUAUAAUUUUGUUCACAUUGUUUUGCUAAGAAACUGCAGACCAAGUAAGAAAAACUAAAUUUGAACAUAUAUGAACAAAUGUCAAACGGUAAAAAUACUAAAUAGACCUGAAAAGUAAACACUGCAGUUACUAGCUUCCUGAAGCGAACUCCAUGCUUUCUUUUGAUUGGACGAGCUUUAGUUUUAUUAGAUUUCUAUUUUUGUUCUGCAAUGUGAUUGGUUAAUGUUCUAGAAGUGGCAUUAGUGGCCCCACUUACUGUAGACGCACACUGAAGAUAUAUUUUUCAGGAUAAGGAGUCUAGUUAUCAUGAGUUGUUAUCUCAAACGAAUAUUAGUACAUUGUAUAAUGCUAGAAUGCAUAGUAUGCUGUCUGUGGUGUUUAAGAGCCUUUUGCAUCCUAGGUAUCCCAAUUAUUUAAAAAGGCUAUUUAAAGCUAGAAUCUCCAAAUAUGCUUUGAGGCCAAAAUAUAUUGGCUUUAACAAAACCAAGUAUGACCAAGUACGGAUUGGGAUCUAUUAAAUACUUAGCGGCCAAGAGUUGGAACUCGCUUACGGACGAUUUUAGGACGAUAAUGGAUAGAUAUAAUACAUUUAAAACCGCAAUUAGAACGCUGGAUUUUUCUAUUUUUUCUUAAAAUAGAAUUGUAUAGACCCAUUAUUUGCACUGACGUCACAAAUCCUUAGAGUGUCCUCCAGAUGCUCCCUAACAAUAUCUGUUCGGGUACAACAACCACACACAGCGCAAAAUUAACCAUUUUAAUACAAAAUUAUUAUAAAGUUUUACAAAAUUUGCUUUGUUUACAAAAGUUAUAUUAUGCAUAGAUUGCUAAUUUCAGUAAUUUGUCCUCCAGAUGCAUCGUCACCGGCGCUGUGACGUCAUGUGCAAAGGGUCUAUACCUAGAUAUAUUUUUUCCUCAUAUUGUAUUGCAUGCUCGAAGAAUAGAUAUUAGCUCAUUGUUUGUGCUACUCUGUGAAUUCGAGUUGAAAUAAAGUGUAUGUAUGUAAGUUGUUUUUUUUUGUUUUUAGUGAUGGCCGUUCUAGUUCAACAGCUAAUUAGAAAACUUGGUAAUUGAACAGACAACAGUUAAUGAUAUAAUUCAUCAGACGUCUUCAG